rnacentral:rRNA from 1 species
AGUGAACGCUGGCGGCGUGCCUAAUACAUGCAAGUCGAACGGAGAUUAAGUAGCUUGCUAUUUAAUCUUAGUGGCGCACGGGUGAGUAAUAUAUAGCUAACUUGCCCAUUACUAUGGGACAACAGUUGGAAACGACUGCUAAUACCUUAUACUCCGUAUCUAUAUAAGUAGAUACGGGAAAGUUUUUCGGUAAUGGAUAGGGCUAUAUCGUAUCAGCUAGUUGGUAAGGUAAUGGCUUACCAAGGCUAUGACGCGUAACUGGUCGGAGAGGAUGAUCAGUAACACGGGAACUGAGACCCGGCCACAACCCCGAGGGGGGGGAGGGGAAGGGAAUAUUGUGGAAGGGGGGAAACCCGAACAAAGCAGCGCGCGGGGGGGGGGCCAUCUUUUUGGAGGCUAAUUUCCUUUUUUGGGAAAAGAAUUUGACGGGAACCAAGGAAAAAGCCACGGCUAACUCCGUG